AGUUGUUGCGGUUAAAAGCUCGUAGUUGGAGUUCUGCCAGGUGACGCUCGUCCGCCCAAGUGGUGUGUACAGGGCGUGCAUCUGGCCCCUUCAAGGGGAACGUGUUGCACUUUAUUGUGUGGCGCGAGAUCCUUGACUUUUACUUUGAGGAAAUAAGAGUGUUCCAAGCAGGCUCUCGUCGUGCAUAGCUCAGCAUGGAAUAAUAGCAUUGGACUUCGUUUCUACGCUGUUGGUUGCAAGAAGCGAGGUAAUGAUGAAGAGGGAUAGUUGGGGGCAUUCGUAUUUAACUGUCAGAGGUGAAAUUCUUGUUUUUGUUAAAGACGGACUACUGCGAAAGCAUCUGCCAUGGAUGUUUUCAUUGAUCAAGAACGAAAGUUAGGGGAUCGAAGACGAUCAGAUACCGUCCUAGUCUUAACUAUAAACCAUACCGGCUAGAGAUCGGAGGUCGUUCAAUUUGUGACACCUUCAGCAUCUUGAGAGAAAU
rnacentral:rRNA from 1 species